UCCGGCUUAACGCCGGCAGUCUCGUUAGAGUCCUCGGCUUGACCCGUUAGUAACUAACGACAGGGGUUUCGCUCGUUAAGGGACUUAACCCGACACUUCACAGCACGAGCUGACGACAGCCGUGCAACACCUGUGCACGUUUCACCCCGAAGGGCAGUUUCUCAACUCAUCGCCGAGAAACAUCCGUGCAUGUCAAACCCGGGUAAGGUUCUUCGCGUUGCUUCGAAUUAAGCCACAUGCUCCACCGCUUGUGUGAGCCCCCGUCAAUUCCUUUGAGUUUUAGCCUUGCGGCCGUACUCCCCAGGCGGCACACUUAGCACUUUUGCUACGACGGCGAAAACGUCAGAGUUUCCGUCAUCUAGUGUGCAUCGUUUACAGCGUGGACUAC
rnacentral:misc_RNA from 1 species